AGAAUCAACGCUGGCGGCGUGCCUAACACAUGCAAGUCGAACGAGAAAGUGGAGCAAUCCAUGAGUAAAGUGGCGACCGGGUGAGUAACACGUGACUAACCUACCUUCGAGUGGGGGAUAACAUCGGGAAACCGAUGCUAAUACCGCAUAACAUCGCAAGAUCAAAGCAGCAAUGCGCUUGAAGAGGGGGUCGCGGCUGAUUAGCUAGUUGGCGGGGUAAUGGCCCACCAAGGCGAAGAUCGGUAUCCGG
rnacentral:rRNA from 1 species